UCAAACUAUUCUUGAUAAAUUUUAUACAAAUAAAAUACAUUUAUCCUCAACGUUUCUAUUAUGUAAAAUCACUGUGUAUGUAAAUACUGUUUUUACUAUUCUUUUAUUUCCCCAUGCAUUCAUCACAGGUAUCAUGUUUAUUAAUAAGAAAGUUUUUAAUAUUGGGAAAAUAUCAUUUUUGUUACAAUAUUGUCACCAAAUGAUCUUAAUUAUUCCCAUUUAUUAUAAACAUUACUUUGUACUAUUUUAGUUUGCAUGGUCAUGUUUAUAGCCCCUCACACUGCAAAGCUAGGGCUGACUAUAUAUCACUAUCAUUUGUUUUCUUAAAUAUUUUGAGAUAUUAAUACUGUAUCUCUUCUGUUGAAUUAAUUCUAAUUUUAAAAAAUAGUAGUCAAAUAAACAUUACAUUGCAGGGAUAACUUGGGAGGUUUAGCUUAAAACGCAAAACAUAUGAGUCCCCCAGAUAGCACUGAUAGAAGAAGAAAAAUAAGGAAAGCAGUUGGUAGCCAAAGGAAAGAAGAAUAUAGGCUAAAUGAAAUCGGGCAUAUUUAACUAAAAAUCAGAAAGAGGAGAAAGGUAGUACAAUGUCUGCAUUAAUGAAAAAUGUAAGUGAAUUACAUGAAUUAGAAAAAAUACAAAGUAUAAGAAGAAGGAAAAAGUUCAUGGGCAUUGUACCCAAAUAUAUGCAUUCUAAUCCUCAUCCUUUCAUGUAUUACUAGAGUGAAUUUGGGAAGGUAAGGUUUUUUUAUGAACUUCAACUUUCUGUUUGUAAUAAUUGAGUUAGCAAUGUACUUCACAGUGUUAUGUGGCCUACUGCAUGUAAGUUUAAUCUAGUUUGGGUAAUGAGUGGUGAUAGAAUAAGGCUUUCUUGAGAAGUUGAUAUUUAAACUGAGAACUGAAGGAUGAGUUGCCUAGGCAAUAUUUGUCAGAAUAGAUGGAGAGUGAAUUGGGGGUGGGUUGUAAGGGGAGGAUGGAGGUGAGGAAAAGGAUUUAAAGCUAGUAUGUUAGAAAUAACCACUUAAAUUGAAAGUUUAAAGCUCUGGAAAAAUGAUUAUGCCUCUUGGAGAUUUUAAAACUCAGCUUUUAACAUAAACUCAUAUAUCUUCUCUAUCCCUAUCAGGAGGUUUCAGGAUGCUGUUUAAUUGUCAAUAGAUGGUGAUAUUUAUGAUUGGUCUAAACGCCUUACUAGGGUCUUGUCAGGUAAAUAGAUAGGUCGUAAUUAGGAAUUUAAUUCCACAGGGACCUAAAAAGGCAAUCUUUCAUUAAUAUAAUAACACCUUAUACCUGCCAGGUUAACCUUAAUUUGCAAGAUGAAGUGCUCUCUUAAAGACACAGUGACCUCUCCACUUAUAAAGUGUUUUUAUUUCCUAAAUUUACUCUUCUUCCACUGCAUUCUCCUCAGUUUCCCAGCUGUCUCCAUUUUCAGACACACAGCCAUACACACAUAUGCAUGCACAACACAGACAUGCACACACGAACAAGAUAUAACUUUAAAUCAAGCCCUGAGACACUUUCAGUUUAGAGUAAGGUUAGCUAAUCUGCUUUUGCUCUUGCUGUUGUAUGAUUAUUACAGUUAAGGAUUGACUUGCACACCAGCCACUUUUGCAGUUUGAAGGUGGAUUAGUGUUGCCCUGUUACUUCAGUAAGUUCUCUUAUAGCUAAACUUGCUUUUUGAAUUUAAACUGCUUUUGUUAUUUCUACUUGAUAUUGGAUUCACAAUAAUUCAAAAAUUGAUUUAGAUAUUGUUUAAUAGAUAGGAAAUAACAAGCUUAGUUUUGAUAUUACAACAAACUGUGACCUCAGUCAGAUAACUUCAUCUUUUUGGGCCAAGAUUGCUUACUGAUAACAGAUAAGCUUGAAUAAAACAAUGUCUUAAUUCUAUUCAACAUUCUGUGAUUCUGUGAGCUAAAAAGUCUGACAACACCAAAACCAUUAUAUUCGCUUACCAUCUACAUACACAGAUUUUAUUAUACUUAAAUUAUAGGUUCCAUCACACCAGUCUGUAAUUCUGUUUUAUAUAUUGUUCUAGGACUUUGCUUUAGACCUCCUAUCACUUCUUUGAUUAGAAAUAUAUCUUUAUAAACCAUGAUGCUAUCCUUGUUUCAGAUUUAUGUAUCCAAGGGCAAGCUAUAUAUCUCCAAUUAUAGGUAUCACAAGAAACUCCCACCUCAUCUUAUGCAAAAUUGAAGCCUGGGGAGCCUGUGCUCCAGUGAAUUUUAUUCAUUCUAAGUGUUGAGAACUGCUGUUCUAGAGCGAAAGCAAAAAAAUAACUUUAUGUUAAUCCUAUCAGUCUCCAGUAGGACAUUCCUAGGAUAUUAGAGACCUAGGAAAAUUGGUUUUCUUUUCUGGCUGAAUUCCUGUACUUGUAAACUGUUUGAAUUUAAAAUGUAUUACAAAAUUAAUAGAACACAUUAUUUAUUGAUUUAAUGACUUAUUGAUAAAUAUUUAAAUUAAUAGCUAGAGAAAAGCUACUUGAUCUUUGUUUAUUGCCCAAUCAGUGCAUAAGGAUUUCAUACUAUUAAGGAAAUAUUGAUUCCUUUUUGGUCCAGGAAUCAUUGCUUCCUCUUCUUAAUUGAAAAUGUAGUAUUACCAGUUAAUUUCAUAUCUCCCACUGCAAGAAAAAUGUGACAAUGCUAUUUUUACUCAAAAUGACAUUGCUCUUUGGAAUCUUGUUCAUAUUGAAAUAAUAUAAAUGUCUUGCCUCUGCAGUUCCCUAAUACCAUUGAUUUAAUGCUUAUUACAUUAUCCAUUAUGUGGAAUCAUCUACCAUACGACUAUGAACAUUCUAUUCCAAUGCCUGUCUCAAAGUUUGUUAAUAUGUUUUGUUGGUUAUGAUCAGCAAUGUAAGUUUUACCCAUGAUAUAUAGGGAAUUUUGUGCAAUAUUUAAUUUAUGGACAUAUUAAAAUUACCAAAGGAAAUUCAUAUAGUAAGUUAUACCAUCAACUCCCUUGAUUCUCAGACUUUCUGACUUGGAGUGAAUUAUAUCAUCAGCUUUCCUGGCAUUCUAGCUUGCAGAGAGCAUAUUGUGGAACUUAGUUGUCUCCAUAAUCAUAUGAGCAAAUUUCCAUAAUAAAUCUCUUGCAUAUCUGUAUGUAUCCUAUUGGUUCUUUUUCUCUGGGAAACCAUGACUAAUGCAAAGGUCAAAGAUAAUCCUUCAAGGAUCUGGUCCAGGAUGGUAAUGCCAACCUUGGCCACUCCCAGGUACUGGAGGGGGCUUAGAAAAUUUUGAAGAAAGCACGCUGAUGCACCAGGAAUACCCUCAGAUGUGGGCCAAGAACAAGGACCCUCUUUUCCAGGCUAAGCAUGGUCCUGAUCCACCAUAUAAAAGUUAUAUUUUUCUGGUUAUAUCUCCUAAAUAUUUACUUCAUUCUCUUUCCAUUCAACCAUAGCUCUCCUAUCAUAAGCUGUAUACUGUACACUUUAGGAAAAAUAAAUAUAUGUGGCUUUUUAUUUGUUUGUUUGUUUUUAAUUCUCUAAACUUCAUGACUUUGCUCAUUCUGCCCUGACUUACUUUCUGUCCCUUAGCUUAGCUAACUCUUAAACAUUUUUUUUAAGUUUCAGUAAGCAUAGAAUGAUCUUGGAAACUUUGUUAAAACUAUAUGUGCUUGGGUUUAUUUCUGGUCUUCCAUUUCUAUUCCAUGAGCCUGUAUGUCUAUCCUUACGUCAGUAUAACAGUUUUUUGAUUACUGUAGCUUUACAGUAGGAUUUGAAAUCAGGAAGUGAAAGUCUUUCUACAUUGAUUUUUCUAUUUCAAUAAUGUUUUGGCUAUUUGGAGUCUCUUACACUUCCAUAUCAAUUUGAAGAUAUGUUUUUCUAUUUCAGCAAAAAAGGCCAUUGGAAUUUACAGGAGUUAUGUCGAAUCUUUAUCUCACUAUAUGGGAAAAGAAUAGUUUCUUCCACAAAUGGUGCUGCUACAAUUGGAUAACCACAUACAAUCACUCCAUAUG